GUGGCACUGAAAGUCUUAGGACCAACAAGUAUACCCUGGAUGAAGUGUAACAGGAGAGGGCUGGGUCCGAUGGGAGAGCUGGCUGGCUCUGCGCUGAUUUCAUCUUCAGGAUACACAGCACACACCCACUCAGGGCAGUGCCAGAAUCCAGAGAUGCGCUCCUGGAUGGAAAUGAGCCCCAGAGCACAGGCACCGCGGCAGCAGAACUUCUGCAGCAUCACCACCACCUGCGAGUAAUGUGAGAGCCGUGGCCGCGGCCGGCUGUGAGGCCCUGCCGGCUAGAUGCCGGCUGCAGUGCCAGCUGAGGUAAUUACAAGCAGCACUCGCUCUCUACAGCACAAGGGCAUCCUCAUGUCCACCCUCACAAUCAAUUGACAAGCAA
rnacentral:lncRNA from 1 species